rnacentral:rRNA from 1 species
AUGGAGAUGUCGACGAGCUUCCCGCUGCCUUGUCUCGCCAUGGUGCACGGCGUAGGCGCCGAACACCAACAACCCACGGCGACGACGCUGUUCAGUCUCGCCGGCGCGAGGCCCCUCACCGGAGUCGCCCUUGAGGAGGAGCUGAAGAACAAAUCAGUCUGCCCCACGCCGCAGGGGUGGGUGCUAGUCCAGCACCGAGACGCCGCCGCCGCCGCCGCCACCUACCUGCUGGAUCCGCGCAGCAGCCAAAGGAUCGACCUGCCGCAUCUCGCAAUCCAGCAGGGCCUGAUCCCCUACUGCAGCUGCCUGCUCGCCGGCGACCCCACGGCCCCGGGGUGCCCAGUGCUAGUGGUGGAGCCCAUGGCCACCUUGCUAUGGUGCUGCCGCGUCGGCGACGGCGAGUGGACCAGGCACGACUACGACAUCGGGACCCUGGGAGACGAGCACUUCGUCGAGAAGAGGGUCAUCGCGCCCAUCGCCGCGUGCCGGGGCAGGUUCUAUUUCAACGCCGUGCCCGCCGAAACGCGCGUGCUGGAGCUGGCUCGCCCAGGGUCGGGGGCGCCGGCGUUUAGCUCGGUCGCGACGGAGCCCGCGGAGGCCGACAGGUUCGGGCGGGCGAGGGUGUUCAUGGUGGGGACGGACGACGACGAGCUGUACAAGGUCGUGCUGCUGCAUCACGGAGGGUCCUACGACGAGGCCAGGGUCCUCAAGAUGGACUUGUCGGAGCGCCGGUGGCGCCCCGUCGAGGACCUCGGCGGCCGCGCCUUCUUCGUCGCGCCCAUGUACUUUGGCGCGUCGUGUGCGCCCACCGGCGGCCGGGUCCGGCAGGACUGCAUCUACUCGUUGGUUGGAGUGGCCAGGAACACUUUCAGGGUCUUCAGUCUGAAAGAUGGGACUUCAGAAGUGCGCCAACUCGAAGAAGAAGAAGAAGAGCAACCUGCGCCGGAAACAGUCGGAAAAUCGAGACCAUGUUGGGUGCUUCCAACCCAUCCAACAUCGUAG